GACGAACGCUGGCGGCGUGCCUAAUACAUGCAAGUCGAGCGAACAGAUGAGGCGUUUGCUCCUCUGACGUUAGCGGCGGACGGGAGAGUCACACGUGUAUACCCUACCUAUCAGACUGGGAUAAUUACGAGAAACCGGAGCUAAUACCGGAUAAUAUAUUGAACCGCGUUGUGCAAUAGUGAAAGACGGUUUUUCGGUCACUUAUAGCUGGAUCCGCGCAGCAUUAGAUAGUUGGUAAGGUAACUGAUUAUCAAGGCAACGAGGCGCAGGGCACCUGAGAGAGAGGUCGCCCACAUGGGGAGAGAGACAGGGACCAGACUCCUGCGGGAAGCAGCAGUAGGGAAUCUUACGCAAUGGAGGAGAGCCUUACGGAGCAACGCCGCGUGAGUGAUGAAGGUGUACGGAUCGGAAAGCUCUGUUAUUAGGGGAGAACAAAUGUGUAAUUAACUGUGCACGUAUUGACGGUACCUGGUCAAAAAGCCCCGGCUAACUACGUG
rnacentral:rRNA from 1 species